AACGAACGCUGGCGGCAGGCUUAACACAUGCAAGUCGAACGCAUCCUUCGGGGUGAGUGGCAGACGGGUGAGUAACGCGUGGGAACGUGCCCUUCAGUUCGGGAUAACCCAGGGAAACUUGGGCUAAUACCGGAUACGUGCGAGAGCAGAAAGAUUUAUCGCUGAAGGAUCGGCCCGCGUCUGAUUAGCUAGUUGGUGGGGUAAUGGCCCACCAGGGCGACGAUCAGUAGCUGGUCUGAGAGGAUGAUCAGCCGCAUUGGGACUGAGUCACGGCCCAAACUCCUACGGGAGGCAGCAGUGGGGAAUAUUGGACAAUGGGCGCAAGCCUGAUCCAGCCAUGCCGCGUGAGGGAUGACGGCCUUCGGGUUGUAAACCUCUUUUAGUAGGGAAGAAGCGAAAGUGACGGUACCUGCAGAAAAAGCACCGGCUAACUACGUGCCAGCCGCCCCGUAA
rnacentral:rRNA from 1 species